rnacentral:rRNA from 1 species
GAUGAACGCUGGCGGCGUGCCUAAUACAUGCAAGUCGAGCGAACAGACGAGGAGCUUGCUCCUCUGACGUUAGCGGCGGACGGGUGAGUAACACGUGGAUAACCUACCUAUAAGACUGGGAUAACUUCGGGAAACCGGAGCUAAUACCGGAUAAUAUAUUGAACCGCAUGGUUCAAUAGUGAAAGACGGUUUUGCUGUCACUUAUAGAUGGAUCCGCGCCGCAUUAGCUAGUUGGUAAGGUAACGGCUUACCAAGGCAACGAUGCGUAGCCGACCUGAGAGGGUGAUCGGCCACACUGGAACUGGGACACGGUCCAGACUCCUACGGGAGGCAGCAGUAGUGAAUCUUCCGCAAUGGGCGAAAGCCUGACGGAGCAACGCCGCGUGAGUGAUGAAGGUCUUCGGAUCGUAAAACUCUGUUAUUAGGGAAGAACAAAUGUGUAAGUAACUAUGCACGUCUUGACGGUACCUAAUCAGAAAGCCACGGCUAACUACGUG